UACGAGGGGUGCGAGCGUUGUUCGGAAUUAUUGGGCGUAAAGGGUGCGUAGGCGGUUUGGUAAGUCUUAUGUGAAAUCUACAGGCUCAACUUGUAGUCUGCAUGAGAAACUGCCGGGCUUGAGUAUGGGAGAGGUGAGUGGAAUUCCUGGUGUAGCGGUGAAAUGCAUAGAUAUGACUUAGAACACCAAUUGCGAAGGCAGCUUGCUAAACAAAUAUUGACGCUGAGGCACGGAAGCGUGGGGAUCAAACAGG
rnacentral:rRNA from 1 species